rnacentral:rRNA from 1 species
UACGGAGGGUGCAAGCGUUAUCCGGAUUUACUGGGUUUAAAGGGUGCGCAGGCGGAUAUGUAAGUCAGUGGUGAAAUCUCUGGGCUUAACCCGGAAAUUGCCAUUGAUACUAUAUAUCUUGAAUGCUGUGGAGGUAAGCGGAAUAUGUCAUGUAGCGGUGAAAUGCUUAGAUAUGACAUAGAACACCUAUUGCGAAGGCAGCUUACUACGCAGAUAUUGACGCUCAUGUACGAAAGCGUGGGGAUCAAACAGG